rnacentral:rRNA from 1 species
UUGGAGGGCAGUCUGGUGCCAGCAGCCGCGGUAAUUCCAGCUCCAAUAACGUAUAUUAAAGUUGUUGCAGUUAAAAAGCUCGUAGUUGAAUUUCGGGAUCAGAUUGUCGGUCGUGCCUCGGUACGCACUGGCAUUAUUGGUUCCUACCUUCUGAAGAACCGCGAUGUCAUUAAUUUGGUGUCGUGGGGAAUCAGGACUGUUACUUUGAAAAAAUUAGAGUGUUCAAAGCAGGCUUACGCUUGAAUACAUUAGCAUGGAAUAAUGAAAUAGGACGUUUGAUUCUAUUUUGUUGGUUUCUAGGAUUGACGUAAUGAUUAAUAGGGAUAGUUGGGGGCAUUAGUAUUCAAUUGUCAGAGGUGAAAUUCUUGGAUUUAUUGAAGACUAACUACUGCGAAAGCAUUUGCCAAGGACGUUUUCAUUAAUCAAGAACGAAAGUUAGGGGAUCGAAGACGAUCAGAUACCGUCGUAGUCUUAACCAUAAACUAUGCCGACUAGGGAUCGGAUGAUGUUAAUUUUUUAAUGACUCAUUCGGCGCCUUACGGGAAAC